rnacentral:rRNA from 1 species
CCUACGGGUGGCAGCAGUGAGGAAUAUUGGUCAAUGGCCGGAAGGCUGAACCAGCCAAGCCGCGUGAGGGAGGAAGGCGCAGAGCGUCGCAGACCUCUUUUGCCGGGGGACAAAAGGCCGGACUCGUCCGGUCCUGAGGGUACCCGGAGAAAAAGCAUCGGCUAACUCCGUGCCAGCAGCCGCGGUAAUACGGAGGAUGCGAGCGUUAUCCGGAUUCAUUGGGUUUAAAGGGUGCGCAGGCGGGCCUUUAAGCCGGUGGUGAAAUCGCGGGGCUCAACCCGGGCCGGCCGUUGAAACUGGGGAUCUUGAGUGGGCGAGAAGUAUGCGGAAUGCGUGGUGUAGCGGUGAAAUGCAUAGAUAUCACGCAGAACUCCGAUUGCGAAGGCAGCAUACCGGCGCCCGACUGACGCUGAGGCACGAAAGCGUGGGGAUCGAACAGGAUUAGAUACCCUUGUAGUC